rnacentral:rRNA from 1 species
AGUGAACGCUGGCGGUAGGCCUAACACAUGCAAGUCGAACGGCAGCACAGUAAGAGCUUGCUCUUACGGGUGGCGAGUGGCGGACGGGUGAGGAAUACAUCGGAAUCUACUUUUUCGUGGGGGAUAACGUAGGGAAACUUACGCUAAUACCGCAUACGACCUACGGGUGAAAGCAGGGGAUCUUCGGACCUUGCGCGAUUGAAUGAGCCGAUGUCGGAUUGGCUAGUUGGCGGGGUAAAGGCCCACCAAGGCGACGAUCCGUAGCCGGUCUGAGAGGAUGAUCAGCCACACUGGAACUGAGACACGGUCCAGACUCCUACGGGAGGCAGCAGUGGGGAAUAUUGGACAAUGGGCGCAAGCCUGAUCCAGCCAUACCGCGUGGGUGAAGAAGGCCUUCGGGUUGUAAAGCCCUUUUGUUGGGAAAGAAAAGCAGCAGGUUAAUACCCCGCUGUUCUGACGGUACCCAAAGAAUAAGCACCGGCUAACUUCGUG